rnacentral:rRNA from 1 species
GUGAACGCUGGCGGUAGGCCUCACCCCUGCAAGUCGAACGGCAGCACAGUAAGAGCUUGCUCUUACGGGUGGCGAGUGGCGGACGGGUGAGGAAUACAUCGGAAUCUACUUUUUCGUGGGGGAUAACGUAGGGAAACUUACGCUAAUACCGCAUACGACCUACGGGUGAAAGCAGGGGAUCUUCGGACCUUGCGCGAUUGAAUGAGCCGAUGUCGGAUUAGCUAGUUGGCGGGGUAAAGGCCCACCAAGGCGACGAUCCGUAGCUGGUCUGAGAGGAUGAUCAGCCACACUGGAACUGAGACACGGUCCAGACUCCUACGGGAGGCAGCAGUGGGGAAUAUUGGACAAUGGGCGCAAGCCUGAUCCAGCCAUACCGCGUGGGUGAAGAAGGCCUUCGGGUUGUAAAGCCCUUUUGUUGGGAAAGAAAAGCAGCAGGUUAAUACCCCGCUGUUCUGACGGUACCCAAAGAAUAAGCACCGGCUAACUUCGUG